CCUGCCUCUUAGCGGGGGAUAACUAUUGGAAACGAUAGCUAAUACCGCAUAAAAGUCGAUAUCGCAUGAUAUUGAUUUGAAAGGUGCAACUGCAUCACUAAGAGAUGGACCUGCGUUGUAUUAGCUAGUUGGUGAGGUAACGGCUCACCAAGGCGACGAUACAUAGCCGACCUGAGAGGGUGAUCGGCCACACUGGGACUGAGACACGGCCCAG
rnacentral:rRNA from 1 species